UUUUUUUUUUUUUUUUGUAGACUUUUUCAUAUAACUCUCUUUUUAAUACUCAACAUUUAAUUUGUUGGACCAAUUUCUUGAACCCUCAAGUUUACCCCCACUUUCAAACAAAUAAACUUGAGAGCUAAUGAGAUCUCAUUUAAUUUCAACGACCCGGAAAGGUGCAAGACUUAUUUAUUAGGAGUGCAAAAAUAGCUCUUAGGAUCAAUCAUAAAGUCCCAAAGGCAAGGAUCUCGUUGUUGAAUUAAUGAUCACAUCUCUAGACUAUACUUUUAGUUAAAUACACCCGACAAACUACUAAAUUCCCAACUACAACACUUUGACAAAGUUUUUGAAAGAUACUCAUUUUGUUUGGAUUGAAAUGAUUUUAAAUAAAAUAAUUUACUUCAUAAAUUUCAAUCAAUUUUUUAUUUUUCUAAUCACAUUUUUAUGUUGCAUAUAUCAUAUCACAAAAAGUGUUAUAGUAAUUGUUUCAACAUUACCAUUUUUGUCUUUGAAUCUUGAGAUAAUUUCAAAAAUCUCCCCUGAGAUUUGUGAUAAUUUCACUAGCCUCCCCUAGAAUUUUAAAAAUUACACAGAUCUAGGAGAAAAUAUUUGUGUAAUUCCAUGAGCAGAUAGAGAAGGUUUGUAUAAUUUUAUAAAUUUCGGAGGAGGCCAGUAAAAUUGUCAAAACCUUCAUGGAGGGUUUCUGGAAUUAUCCCUUAAAUCUAAUGACUGAUUGUUGGUCUCACGUAAAGCAUGUGAGGGUGGGGCCAAACUAGACAACUAAGUUUUUAUACGAUCAGUGUAAAAGCCAAGAUUGGUUGAUGCUGAGGUGGGCAGUCUACUUGAUGGUACUUUAUUGAUUGUGUGAGCUAUCUAGCUAGAAAAUAUUAAGACCGACGAGUGAGACGGGGCAUUUUAUCUCCGGAGGUAGGCUCUGAUGCUCAAGUUAGCAACUGUCCUAAACAGUGUUAGUUUUAAGGGAAUAGGAAGGAAAAGAAAGGAAAAACAAUGUAAGGAUGAGAUUUUUUUCUUUUUAAUGUUUGGAUUGAUUUUUUACGAGAAAAAACGAAAGGAGAGAAAGGGAAAGAAAUGGAUCAGGUCUAGUUAUUUUUUAUCAAUUUGUUUUCUAUCCAAAAUUGAACAAAAAAUGGAGGACAAAGGCACCAAGAUUAUGUGUUUAUAAAAAGUUAAACUUUUAAAUUAUGAACAAAAACGUAACUAAUGUGUGAUAGUUUCCUCUCCUUUCAUUUUGUAAUCCAAACAAGAUGAAUAAAUUUUGAUUUUCUCUACCCUUCUUUCUUUUCUGUUAUAUUAGGUUCCUCUGAUUUCCUUUCAUUCUCUUGCCCUAACGAGAAGAGAUAUAGUAGUAUUUAGUGAGCAAAUCAAUUAGGGGAUGAGUAUUUAUACCUAUUCUUUAGUGGUGCUUGGUGUUGUUCACUUAAUGAAGGCUAUAAUGCAAUAUUUUAAAUCACACCAUUAAGUAAAUCGGUUCAAUUUGUUCAAUCCAGUUCAAAAUUUUUUUCUUUAAUUAUUUUAAUUAUUAAGUGAUUUGAAUGACUUUGAAAUAAAAAAAAAAAGAGAAAAGUUAGCAUAAACUAGGUCAAAAGUCCAAUUUUUUACCGGUUUAAUUAAAUUCUUGAUCGAGAUGGACUACUUCAAUCGACUUUCUGACUUUACUAGUGAACCGAAGAGGUGCAUCGAAUCGGCCCAGUUGGGUUGUCAAAACAUUGCUACAAUGCCACGUGUUAACAACCUAGAGCACUUCCCAAAUAUUCGUAGAUCUGGUGCUAAAAUGUCAAAAUCUAAAAGAGUCAAAAAAGUCUCGUGGCCAACACCUGGCGUUCACGUGUGUUGCAAUCAGUGUUAUGGUGAGUAUGACCUCGAUGACGGCAAGUCGUGGACACUUAAAUGUGCAAGAUUUUAUGUCUAAAAAUGUGAAAGAAAAGUUGCAGGAGAAGCAAGAAAUCUAAAUUUGUUUCCAUUGAAAUUGUCUGCUGUUCGAAAAACAUGGCAAUUUUGACUAAACUAAACUCCACUACUUUUGACUAUUUUGACUUCUCUGCAUGGCGAGUUAAACUUCGACUUUGUUGUGAUUUAGACUUUCGAGAAAUCUAGGUUCAAAAUCUUAUCUUUCUAUCUUAUUGUUGUCGGAAAAACAGAAGAGAGAAGAAGAAGAAGAAGAAAUGGGGGAAUAGAAAAGUAGCAACCACAUUGCUGUAGUAUCUCGAAGAUCUUGAUCCCAAUUCCUAAUGCUUGGCUUUUGAUUCAUCCCCCGAACUUUAAGAUGCUGUUAUAGAUGGUAGAGUAGAGUGUUCAAGUAUAUAGGAUCAUGCAACGGGGUUUCUAGCAACGCUUUUCCCCUCCAUUCUAGUAAGACUAACUAAUUUUAUACCAAUCUUGCCUACAUUAAAAUUCUGCAGAAAACCACGCAUAUUUCCUUAUUUCAAUUUUUUUGGGGGUUCUUUUAAGAAAUAGAGAAGUGUAUGAGAAAUAAUAUUGAACCUCUGCUAAAACCCCGCUGUGGGAGAGUACAUGACCAUUAGUCCAGUGACCAACAGUAGAGCCUCUAAGUCGCUCUUGGGAUGUUGGUUGGAGAUCAAAUUCCCCUAUCGGGAUCAAAACGUCAUGAAUUUCUAACUUUUCAGAUUUAACUGAUUAUCAAAUUCCCUUACCACCAUCAAAACAUCAUGAAUUCUUGACUUUUUAGAUCUAAGGGGUUAGAUCUGAAAAGUCAGGAAUUCAUGGCAUUUUGAUGCUGGCAGGAAAAUUUUGAUACUUAGUACACCUGUUUGAUCCAGAGGUAAUUUAUUCUCCGCUUGUUCUCAAUGACUUUGAUGUAGGUAUAGAAUAUUGAUUUUUUUUUUUUUUGUAUAGAAUGUUGACAUUUGACAAAAGAAAUACGUAUAUAAAUGACCAGGGGUUCAAAAAUAAUUUAUACAUGACUAGGGAUUCUUUGUUCCCAUAUUUCAUCGUAAUUAAUAUGGUUAUAUGCAACAAAAGAUUGCUCUCAACUUUUGAUUUCGUGCCCUAUAAUGUGGACUAAUUAGGUCAAACUUCGAGUUUGGCCCUCCCACUAUUUCUGUAUCAACCAAUAUAGUCUCGUAUGUUUUCAAAUUGUGUUUUUUCUCCUUUUUCUUUGACAAGUCUCACAUACGAGGGAGGGAUGCUAACAUGAAAAGUUCAAUUUUCCUUAUAAUUGCACACAAGGAAAUCACAGUUUAUUGAGAUUUGUAUUAGAUAACUACCAAACAAGAACUAUAGUUGGAACCAAAUUAAAGUGCACAAGACAAAACAAAUAAUUUAUUACUUUUUUGUAAGGUACUUAAAACUUUUACUCAUUUUCAUGUCAAGAGUGAUCAAGAUAUCCUAAGAGUAAAUGAUUAAGGAUAAAAUACCAAAAAACUCCCUGUGAUUUACCAAAUAUUCAAUUAAACUCCUUUUAGUUCGGAAACCUAUAUUAUAGCUCCUUAUGGUUUCAACUAAAUUGAAAAUUGGACAAAAAGCAUACAAUCUAAUGGUUGUACGUAAAAUGUCAAUAUUGUCCUUUAUAAAUGAACUCCUUGUAAUUUGCUGCAUGUUCAAUUUAAUUUCCUCUGAUUUAGAAAACUAUAUUAUAACUCUUUGCUGUUUUGAUAAAAUUGAAAAUUGAAUGAAAAGUGUUACAUGUGUAGCAGAAGCAAUAUUGACAUUUCACGUACAAUCAUUAGAUUAGAUACUUUCCAUCCAAUUUUUAAUUUAGUUGAAACUAUAAAGAGUUAUAGUGUAGGUUUCCAAAGCCGAGAGAUUUAAUUUGAAUAUUUGACAAGCCAUAGGAAAUUAAUCAUUGGUAUUUUACCCAAUGAUUAAUCAAGUAUGAUCCCUCAAUCAAUGAAGCUACAGUUUCAAUGAAGGGUCCAACUUCUGAAGCCUCAUAGGAAAUCAAGGGCCCAGGUUAUGCAAAAGGGACUAAUGCCGGAGAAGUUUGGGUAGACUCAAGUGACAAUGAUGGAAUAAUAGUUACACCUAGAGGGAUAAGCUUUGAUGAAUUUGGCAACAUCUUAGAAGCCGUGCCUAUCCCUCUACCUCAUAAAGGUGAAUAUUUUGAACAAGUUCAAGAGCAUAAGUAAUGGUGCAACUCUGUAGAUAUGUUGUACAGUUACCAUGGUGCAUCUGAUCCCAAAGAAAGAUAAUCUACAUGGGGUCAAUGAAUUUUUUGACAGGGGUAUAUUUAUCUGCCUGAUUGCCUAUUUCAGCACUAUUUUUGUAGAAAAAUAAACAGUUACCACAAGCAUUUACCACCUAGCCCCUCCUCCCCCCAGGUUGUAGUCCAACAAGAAAAAAAAUUAUACGACUAUUCAGGGUAAGCAGCAAUUGUUGAGCUUGAAAGGGUGUUUAUACAUAUCGGGUAGUUUCGAUUAGUAAAACAAUUGAAAAGCCAGUUUCUGGUGCUAAAUAAUAUACACAUGAAAAUGAUAAAUGAUAGAUGUGUAAAAGUUACAGGUUUCGACCGGCGUGGCGUUGACCCUGUCCGUGUUUUCUCUAUCUAUUAACUUCUCCUGUAACCAAAACGAUUUGAUAAUGAUAAUGAUAAUGGAUUGACUUGUUUUUAUCACCUUUAAAGCAACACAACCCGUUAUGAGCCCAACGAAAAGGAGACAGUAGGGCUCCAGGGUACAAAUCACAUCUAUGAUCUAACGUUUAAUUAGAUGGGCUAACUUUGUUUACAGUAGACUUUAAGACACUGACACGUUACAGAUAUACAUGUAUUAGGCAAAUUGUCUAAAAGCCCUAUAUUGGCCUUGGUAAAAUCGAGUACCCUUAUAAGAUAGAUAAUGAGGCGGGGGCGGGAUGAUUUUUCUCUCCUUGCCUUAAACGGUGGGGAGCUGGGGAGGAAAAGGUGCAUACUUCGGUCCCAUCCCUAAUCUCAUCCCCACAUCAAUUAUAUAUGUAAUCUAUAUAACUAAUAAUUAUACAUAUCUAAUAAUUGUACAGCACAUCGAGCUUCGUUACUGUAAAGAAUUCUUACUAUUAAUGAAAUUCUCUUAAUAUUUUCAAAAAAAAAAUUAUACACAAUUAAUAAUCUAAAUGAAUCUAGUUGUAAUAGCAGUAAUAUUUGUUAUAGCACACUCGUCAUUCAUGGACUGCUACCACACUGUUUUCUAUUAUGGCAAGUUGAGAGUUAAGUUUGCUGAAGCAGCUCCGGUGGUGAUCUUCCAGCGUAGCCUUCCAUGGGUCUACUUGCUCCCUAGUUCAUACAUCUAUCUGUAUUGACUCAUCUUGAGUACAUCAAGAGGGAAUAUGGUGUUCAAACUAGAAGUUGACAGAUUUUGGAAUUGUCCACAGAAUACUUGUAUAGAUUUGUGUUGUUUGUUCUUAGUGCACCUAAUUUGUACCUUGUGUUCUUAUCUUCCAAAAAAAAAAAUCAGCUCAAUGGCAUCCGAUAGGAUUGGGAUAUUUUCUUUCUCCCAUGGGCAUUGGGCACCUGCAGAGAGGGCUAGGCCCCGAGGGGGAGGGAGUUAUUUGACAGUGGGAAGGGUUACCAAAACCACCCGUUACUAUCCCUAAAUCUAGCUUCCUUUAUUUCUUAGUAUCUCCAGUAAAGACGUGCAGGUUCCAGUUAUCAUAAUUGCUGUGCCCAUCAGAAUAAUCCAGUUAUGAUUAAUAUGUCUACUUUAAAUCGCUGAAAUCUUCAAGAAGCACAAGCAUGGUAUUAUGCCAGAAGCUGUAACGAUCGAAGACACUCCCACGAGCGACAUUAGAUAUCCAAGAAACGUUAUGGCUAUAGCAACAAUGAUUGUGCUAAAGAAUAAGCAGAUUCUCAGUAGCACUCUCAAUUGGCAUAAUCAUCAAUGCAUAUUUGGCUAUUGGAUUGACCAAUGUGGUGUAUAUGGCUACUUUUGAGCUAAUCUUAUUGGUUGGAAGGUUUAAGGUUAUUUGAGAGUGAACGUUGACAUUAAAGCGUAGGUAAGGGUGUAGAAGAAAAAGCAAAGAAAUAAAACCUGAAACAAAAAAAGAAAAAAUAAAUAAAAUCAGGUUUAAGGAAAAUAAUUAGUAACUAAAAUAUGCAUUAAAGGAAUAAUGUCCCUUUAAAUAUUCAGAGCAUUAGACUUAGGCAUGUACCAAGCUUCUUAAUAUUUUCUAGUUUGACUAAUUUUUGGUCGGUGUUUAUCCACAAAGAAAUUGAGCUCUUCUAUAUCCCUUGUACAUUUGAAUGAUUGAUCAGAGGCUAAUUAAACUACAAGGAAAAAGUUUGGAGUCAUAUGUUAGGCAAAGUACAAUUUUUUUGUUUAAUUCCAUUGAGUCUUGAAGAGCUAAGCAGUUAAUUUAAUGUCAUUUUGGGGUAAAAUAUUGCAUAUUUUCUUUUUACAGACCCAAAAUUAAACUAUAACUUUUGUUAUACUCGAUCAUUACUGCUUUUCCUCACUUUUUUGUGGUAGAAAACAAAAUAAUUCCAUUUUUAAACAAAUUUUGCCACAUAGCAUCAUAGUUAGUUUGUUCAUGCAUGGUACGUUGUAAAUUUGUAAUGCAUUGCCAAAAACAUGGAUGAAACAUGCAUUUGUCUAUUCCCAGCGAUAAUUCUUGGUUUUGGAGGAUGUUGUUUCAACUUUGUGCACUAGCAGUGUACCAUAUAUUUUUUUUCUGUGAUUGGCAAUGGUGAAAACACUUAUCUUUGGUUUGACCAUUGACACCCAAGGAUCCGUAACAACAGCAUUAUGGCUUACAUAUUGUCAAACAGUUUCCUAGCUCUUUGUAGGCCAAGGUCUCUUCUAUCAACUAUCCUCAGGAUGGACAAUGGAAACUCCUAAUUGGAAGAAGAAGAACUGAUGCUGUAGAAAAUUUUAUAUUACAUCUUCCUUUCUUCUAAGUAUCUGGACACCUCAAGUGAAGUUUCUGUGAUCAGAUAGCCUGUUCACAGUUCUGGUGCUUUCUCUGUCCAAUCUUCUAUUGAAGUUGGUUGGCAGUUGGCACUACCUUGUAUGGUUCAAUAAGCAUAUUCCCAAGCACUCUUUCCUCCUGUGGAUGCAAUGUAGGAACAGACUGCUCACAAAAGAUACACUGUUCAAGUGGGUGACCAUCUAUUCUUACAAUGUGACUAUGCUACUUGUGUUUGAUCAAGGGGCGUUCAACUCUGCAGUUGAUACAUAGAGGGAUUUAUACAUGACAUGAGGAGCUUGGUUAUCUCAUCACCUUCCAUAUCAACUCAUCUAAUUCUCUGGUACUGAAGCUCACUCUUGGGACUACAGGAUCUUUUAAUCACAGGUGACACUAACUACUGCUGAGGUGAUUGUUGAUAAAGUGAUGAAGGAAAUCAGUUAUGUUGUUCCUUGGAGGUGUGUGCCCAAGAGUAAAGGUAAGUGACUACUGAGAUUAAAUUGGGAUUUUGCACAAGUUAUUUUCAUUAAAGUCUCUAAAGAUUAUGAGUUCAAAUUCUCUUACUCCCUUCCUUCCUGCUUCUUCAGUACUCACCCGCCCUCCUAGAAAAAACUUUUCUAAAAAAAAUCUUCACUAAUGUUUAGUCGAGUUACUUCUGUACAGUCUAGCUUUGUGCUGACAAGCACUUGAUUUGCAAUAUGUAAAUGCUUGUGAACAUUCUCUGCUUAUCAAUAAACAAUACUACUAUUUUUUUUAAGGAUGAACAGUGAUAUUUGCUCUUUUCUUUCUUUCUUUUUUUUUUUGAAGCUUUCAUUGAUCCAGGGAAACAUUUAUAUCUACCUAAACAAAACUGCAAAAUACGUCAAUAAUUUUGAAAUACAGAUCAAUUAUCAGUGUCCCAUCCUGCUAUUUGCUUUUUCUCCCCACUUUCCAGAAACAAUGUUAAAAGAAUACGAUAUAACGAGAAUGUUGGAAAAAAUAAAAAAGUAUAGAGAGCUAAAUUUAUUGCGAAAUUGCAGAGUGCUAAGCAAAAAUUUGCUGGCAGAGAACAUCCGCAGCAAUAAGAGGCCAACUGUGAAUGCCAUCCGCAACUCGGAAUUGUUGACAUAAAAAAAAACCGAAUAUAUUUAGAAUUUUAGUUGUUUUAGAAGUUGAUUUAUUAUUCGGUAACUAGAUUAGAAUUGGUAUCAAAGCUAGUAUAGGAAAUAAAAUUUAAAAUAGGUUUUAGGUUGAUGAUAGUAAAAUUCUGUCAGGAGUUACUUUUGUAUCCUAUAUAAUGCUUUGUAACCGAUUGUUUGCAAUUGAGCAGACCUUGAAUGAAAUUGAGUUAAUAUAUUAGUCUCGCUCCUUUCCUAUUUUUCUGGUCGUAAGGUUCUUUUCACUAUUUGUUUCGAGAAUUUUCUAUCAUCAAAUUAGAUGAUAUAUUUACUUCCGCUACGUAUUUUUUGUGUUAACAGAAAUCGUGAAAAUAGAUUUUGUCGGUUUUGUUUAAUGGGAUAUGUUCUUGGAUUGUUCUAAUGUUUUUGCCCUUUGACAAAGCAAAAAAACGAGAAGAGUAUUCCUUAAUUUGUUUUUGGGUGAACUCCACUUUGCACCCUCAUACUUGUAUCAAUUUUUUCACUUUGUACCUUGAAUUUUAAUUGUGGAUACUUUGCAUCCUAAACUCUAAAUUUUAGACACUUUAUAUCCUAAAUUCUCAAAUUUGUUUCAUUUAAAUCCAAUCAUAAAAAUCAAUGAAAAUAUGCUUUUUUUAAUAAUGGAAGGUUUCAAACCUGAGACCUCUCGUUUAUACUUUUUCCUCCACUCAAUUCAUCCCUCCCACUCUGUCCCAAAUUUCAAUAUGCUUAAAAUGGUCAAAAGGAUACAAAUGGAUUGCAACAAGAAUAAAAUAAUACAUUGUCAUUAAUUUAGACAAUCUUUUUAUUUUGCUAAUUUUGCUAACAAUACUAGUUAUUAAAUGGAACACAUUUUUGUCCAAUUUGUUUUAGUUAUGAUCCCUUUGCUAUUUUUGAUCAAUUUCAACAUAUUAUCAUUGAUUUGCAUGAUCGUUUAUUUCUUAAUUUUGCCAACAUUGUUAUCAAUUAGACUUAAUUAGGAUAAACUUGAGAGUUUAUAGUACAAAAUAUCAAAACAUUCAGAGUUUAGGAUUUAAAAUGUCCAAAUUUAAGAUUUAAAGUGUAAAGUAAAGAGUGAUAUAAGUUCGGAUGUACAAAGAAAGGUUAAUCCUUUAUUUUUUGGUGUAAAAAGAUUUAGGUGGAUGGGAAGUAUACCCUGUUACAAAUCUAGAAAAAACCACCGGACCAAUAAAAUUUGUAAUGUUAUUUGCAUUAGUUGCCAAGAAAAUUAAGGGAUUGCUGACAAUUAGACGAGAACUUAACUUUUUUUCUCAGCAAGUAAUAUGCAUUUUUCAAUGUUUCAAUUGCAGUACUAUAAAUUGCGUAAUUAUUCGAGAUGAUUGAACUCCACCAAAGUAAUUUAUUAUGAUCAAACCAAAAAAAAGUAUAGCCAUUUUUUGUUUAAAAACUUUUUUGAUUCAUGGAGAGAACCAAGCUUUACAAAGAUGAAUGAAAAAAAGUGAGGGCUUGAGAAGCUCACAGUCACUUAACCAAUAUCCUUAUCAAUUAAGUUAGGAAUCAAGAACAAUUUAGCAUAGGCUUCCAAAUAAUCACUUCGAUUCAACAGCAGCACAUAUAACCAUCUCCCUAAAGAUUGUCUUUAAGUAAAGCAUUGGCGCAUUCUUUAAUCAAUUCCCAAGCAGCUCGAACGUGACGAUCCUCUGUCAGGGUGCUCCCAACAGCAAAUCUCAGCAUGUAUAAUCCUCCAAUCUUAGUAUGAGUCAUGUACACUUAGCCCGUUGAGUUUACCAGCUCAAGACGCUUCUCGUUCAAGAGCUGAGUGUAUGUUGCAUUGGACCCUCUCAAGGGGUUAAGCCGGAAACAUACAAGUGAAAAUGCAGGCGGCACAAUUAUUUCAAACCUUGGAUCGGAUUUCACAAACCCUUCAAACAUUUUGGCCAUUUGUACAUCGGAUUGAAUGUGGCUUUGCAGGUUUGCAACUCCAUAACUACGCAGGACAAACCACAAUUUAAGGCUCUAAAGCGUCUGGAUGUACCAAUUUGCCAGUCUUUGUAAUCAAUGACUGCGUCGAAUUCGCUUCUUUCGUUUCUCAAGUACUCCGGGUUGGUUCUUAGUGACUUCACCAUCAACUCAGGUUUCUUGACCCACAAACAGCAGCAGUCCAAAUAACAAAGAAGCCACUUAUGAGGGUUGAACUCAAUGAGUCAACUCUCUCAAUCCCAUCCAAGUAUUGCCUAAACUCGGGACAUAUGCAUGCACUACCAGCAUAAGCUGCCUCAACAUGAAUCCACAUGUCGAAUUCAUUUGCAGCUUCAGCUAGCUGACCCACUGGAUCAAUGGCAGUGGUGGAAGUAGUCCCCACAGUAGCACAGAGGAAAAGCGGGACCAGGCCAUCUGCGAUGUCGGCUUCAAUUUGCUUCCUUAAUGCCUUGGGGGACAAAGAAAAUUUGUCUUCAACAGUAGUUGGGAUUAUUCUUAUAUUGCAUGGGAAAAUGCCAGCUAGCUUGCUAGUCUUGAUGAAAAAACUGUGUGUUUGAUCAGAUCCAUAAACGACGAGCUUGCCAACGUUUUCGAGGCCAAUUGUCUCAAGAGCGCGGUCACGUGCGGCGACGAGGGUGAAAAGAACAGCCUCACUGGUGUUUCCUUGGAGAACGCCGCCUCCGGUGCCUGAAAACAUGAAGGAUUUAGGGAGCUUAAGCAUGUUAGCCAACCAAUCCAUGACAACCAUUUCGAGCUCGGUGGCCGCCGGGGAUGCAAGCCAGUUGACCGGUACAGAGUUAAAGCCAGUGCACAACAUUUCUCCCAGAAAAGCGGCAGAGCUACAUGUUACAGGAAAAUAUGCAAAGAAGUUAGGGCUUAACCAGUUAGUCAUUCCAGGGAUUAUAACCUUUUGAACGUCUUCUAGAAUAGUUUCAAAUGGCUCGGGGAGAUACGGGGCGGUUUCUGGCGGCCGGGUUCGGAGAUAUCCAGGCUCAACUUGGCUGAGAACAGGAUAGUUUUCGAUAUUUUUGUAAUAGUCAGCUAUGAAAUCAACCAUGAGAUGGGCUUGUUUCCUGAAUUCUUCAGGAUCAAGUGGCCUGAAUGGUGCAACUGGUGAAGUUGCAUAAGAAGCUUCAUUAUUUGCAUCAAUGCUGCCCAUUCUCUUUGGAGACUAUUGGGUUCUGUACAAAUUUAAUGGAGGUGAGUAGGAAAGGUAGGAACAAGGAGCUUUGAAUGAACCAAGAAAGCAGUUGGAUUUGAGAGAAAUGAGAAGUGUUGAUAAUGCUUGUACGAAUUUUGUGGUAAAAUGGCCACUACUUAAAAUACUAGCAGCCAAAUGGGCACUAUUUAAAUUAACAUUCUCUAGUGAGAUUAAAUUGAAACAUGAGCAUAUAUACUACUAUAAUAUAACCGGAAACAUACUUUUGGCGUGGGGAUUUUAUGUAAGGAUGGCAAUGGGUGCGGGUGCCCGUGGGGGUAGAAAUGGGGUGGGGCAGGGCGGGGCGGGGGCGGGGGUAAAAUAUUUCCCCCCGCCUUAAAACGGGGCAGGGGUGGGGAAACAUACACCCGCCCCAUCCCCCACAUACAAUAAUAUAUAUAUAUAUAUAUAUAUAUAUAUAUAUAUGUAUAUUUAUAUAUAUAUAAUACAAUCCUAAAUUUUCUAAAGUUGCACCCUUACUUACAAGUACAACGCUAGUCAGUGUUAAUGGCCGCCGCAACAACUGAAGAAAUUUCUUGGACUAUUGUUGAUUUGUUUCUAACGCCCCCCCCCCCCAAAAGACUAAGCUAUCCAAUUCCAACCUGUUUUGCUCCUAACCCCUUUUUAUUUGGAUCGGAUGGCAAUGGGUGUGGGUGCCCGUGGGGGUAAAAAUGGGGUGGGGCGGGGCGGGGCAGGAGCGGGGGUGGGGGCAAAAUAUUUCCCCCCGCCUUAAAACGGGGCAGGGGGUGGGGAAACAUACACCCGCCCCAUCCCCCACAUACAAUAAUAUAUAUAUAUAUGUAUAGUUAUAUAUAUAAUACAAUCCUAAAUUUUCUAAAGUUGCACCCUUACUUACAAGUACAACGCUAGUCAGUGUUAAUGGCUGCCGCAACAACUGAAGAAAUUUCUUGGACUAUUGUUGAUUUAUUUCUAACGCCCCCCCCCCCAAAAGACUAAACUAUCCAAUUCCAACCUGUUUUGCUCCUAACCCCUUUUUAUUUAGAUCGGUUCCCUUCCUCCGCACUGAAUGUAACUUGAUUUGUUUUGCUUUAUUUCCAUCUUGAUAGCUUUUUAAUCUUAUUUAACAUUAUUUACAAUUGUAUUAUUGUAAAUAACAUUUAUGAUAAGUUGAUUUCUUCCCCCGCGGCCGGGCGGGGGGUGGGGGGCAAGGGGCGGGAGAAGUUAUUUGACAAUGGGGCGGGGUGUAGGGGAAGGAUCCCCGCCCCAUUACCACCCCAUUUUUAUGUAAUAGAGUUGAACAAGAAGGUAAUUAGUAAGAAUUCGCUAGUGCAAUCCUAAAAGAAUAGAAGUGUUAGCUGACAGUAGCGGAGCCACAUUCAAGUGAGAAUGGGUAAUUGCCCCUCUCAACUUUAAAGUAUUUUGAAAAUAGGUAUGGAAAAAUUUUCAAUUUUCAAUUUUUUUCUUAUAAUUGCACCCCUUAAAAAUUUUACACGUUCCUACAUUUCGUUAUUUUGCCCCCUAAAUUUAUGAAAUCUAUAAUUAUUACUCAGUUUAUAAAUGAUGACAUGUUUGAAACGAUGCCAAGUACUAGUUGAAAAUUUAGAUAGAAAAGAAAUUUUAACAUUUUUGUACAUAAAAAUGUAAAGAUUAUUUUGUCUAUUAUACAAAAAAAAAUUGUCAUCUAGUUGUUAUUAUUGUAAAACGCUAUAUAAUUGUAACAAAAUUCACGCAACUAUCAUACUGAUUAUUAAAAUGUUAACAAUAUUUUUUUUACCUUAAUUGUGUUGUAUUGUACAUCAAACUAAUUGCCCCCAUAAUCUUGGGUCCUAACUUUGCCACUGUUAGGUGAGGUUAUGAAUAGUACAUUUGAUCCCAUAUUGUGCACCAUAAGUAGUUUGUUAUUGUAAAACUAAUAAACUACUAUAGUAUGAAUGGAGAUAUUAGAGAAAUAAAGAAUAAUAUUCUAAUAUUCUAACAAAAUACAAAAGUCAUCACAAAAGGGUGUCAAUGUACCUCUAUAUAUAGGUACUACAAGAUUAAAGGUGCAUCAAUCCUAUUAAACACCUACUACUACAAGAAUAUGAAGAAACCUAUAACACGGUUUCUAUGAUAUUUUCCAAGUAAUUUCCUUUUUCGGUUGAUUUUUAUCUCCCCUUAAUGUCGAAAAAUAUGAUUCAUCAAAAUGACAAUUUGCAAAUCUCACAGUAAAUAAAUCACCUGUUAAUGGUUCCAUAUACUUAAUGAUUGAAGGUGAUUCAUAGCCGACAUAUAUCCCUAAUCUUCUUUGGAGGCCCAAUUUACGACGUUGGGGCGGUGCAAUUGGAACAUAAACCGCACAACCAAAUAUCCGUAAAUGAGAAAUAUUAGGCUCAUAACCAAAAGUUAAUUGUAGGGAAGAAUAAGUAUGAUAACUUGUCUGCCUAAUUCUCACAAGUGUUGCUGCAUGUAAUAUAGCAUGUCCCCAAGCAGAUGAAAGAAGUUUAGACCUCAUCAACAAUGGUCUAGCAAUUAAUUGUAACCGUUUAAUGAAUGAUUCGGCUAGACCAUUUUGUGUGUGAACAUAAGCUACAGGAUGUUCAACAGUUAUUCCAAUGGACAUACAAUAAUCGUCAAAAGCAUGUGACGAAUAUUCACCAGCAUUAUCUAGACGAAUUUUCUUUAUUGGAUAAUCUGGAAAUUGUACUCGUAAUUUAAUUAUUUGAGCAAGCAAUCUCGCAAACGCCAGGUUGCGAGUAAAUAAUAAACAUACAUGUGACCAUCUAAUUGAUGCAUCAAUUAGCACCAUAAAAUAUCGAAAUGGUCCACAUGGUAGAUCUACAGGCCCACAUAUAUCACCAUGAAUUCGUUGUAGAAAUGUAGGGGAUUCAGUCUCAAUUUUAACUUGUGAUAGUCUAAUAAUUAAUUUUCCUUGAGAACAAGCAACACAAGAGAAUCCAUUGGCUUUUAAUACUUUUUGAUUUUUUAAUGAGUGACCAUGUGAAUUCUCAAUUAUUCGUCUCAUCAUUAUAGAUUCGGGAUGUCCGAGACGAUCAUGCCAAACCAUAAAAUCAUUGGGAUGAGUAGACUUCUGGUCUACUAGGUGAUGAAUUUCAAUUGUACUAAUUUGUGCAUAAUAUAAGCUAGAAAAAAAGAAGAUAAUUUUUCUACUACGUAUUUUUGCCCAGAAAUGAUACUCGUGAUUAAUAAAAAUUCACCAUUUGUCUCAGUCAUUGUCUCGAUAUGAUAUCUAUUUUCACGGAUAUCUUUAAAACUCAAUAAGUUUCUCCUAAACUUGGAAGAGAGUAGUGCAUUAUUUACGACAAUUUUAUUCCCUUCAGAGAGAAAUAGACUGGCUCUUCCGAAACCUUCAAUUAAUUUUGCAUUACCACUGAUGGUAUUAACAUUUGUCUCUCCCAUUUUUAAACAAGAAAAAUAUUUUUUAUUUUUCAAUAUGGUGUGCGUAGUAGCACUAUCAAUGAGACAAAUGUCAUCAUCACCAUUAUUUAAUCCCAAAUAUUUGACAUCCAUUUCUUCUUCAGGAAGAAAAUUUCAAACAAAAAUAAAUAUUAAUAAAGAUGCAAAAAUAAAUAUUCAAUGGAAAGAAAAUUACAUGAAAGAUAUAAAGUAUCAUAAAAUAUCUAAACAAUCAUGAGAUAUUUGUUGACAUCUUCAGGAUGGUCAAACAAAUUAGCUACAUCAAGAUGUGUCAUAUCAGCAUCAUCACCAUCAUCAUAAUCAUUCUUUUGAUCAAUGAAAUUUGUCUCAACACCUUUGUCUUUCUUUUUCAAUGAUGCUUGAUAGAGGUCAACUAGAUGCUCAGCCAUACGACAGGUACGGGACCAAUGACCUUCCAUACCACACCGGUAGCAUUUUUCUUCAUAAACUUUCUUUUCUCUAUUUUUCUGAUCGUAGUUAUUUUCCCUCUUUUGGGAAAUAUUUUGUUGUUUGCCACGGUUAUAAUUUUCACGAGGCACAAAUCUACUAAGAUCGCAUCCACGGCCACGCCCUCCUCCACCGCCAUCUCUACGGCCACGUUCACGACCUCGACCAGAAUUUUGAAAUUGAGUCGCAUUUGUUUCAGGGAAUGGACUUGCACCAGUUGGUCGGGACUCAUGAUUUUUCAGCAAUAAUUUAUUAUUUUAUUCAGCCAAGAGAAGACAUGCGAUAAGUUCAGAAUAUUUUUUAAAUCCCUUCUCUCGAUAUUGCUGCUGCAAGAGCAUGUCAGAGAUAUGAAAAGUAGAAAAUGUCUUCUCUAACGUAUCUUCAUCAGUAACUUUUUCGCCACAUAAUGAUAAUUGAGAAGUGAUUCUGAACAUGGCUGAAUUAUAUUCGUUGACAGAUUUAAAAUCUUCUGAAUGGUAUUGCAUAUUUAAGUAGUUUCUUUUGAGUGGUGGGAUUGUUUUACAAGAAAUUAUAGAUGCAUGUUGUUAAUGAAAAAAAUCAGUUGUAUUUGGGGUAAUAUUUUUCAUCUAGUGCAAGAGUCAACAUUCUCAUCUCUAUUUUAGCUUUUUUUCUAGUUACCUUUUUUUUGGGUUUUGUUUUUUAUGCUUAAGUCGAUCCAUUUGAUUUGCUACUUCAGCGAUCAAAGAUGAUCGGAUCUGGAGUUUUCACUUGUCAUUCUGCAAAUAUGUUGUAACAAGCCCCUUUUGCAUCCACUUUGACUCAAGUGUUUAGUUUUUGCACCAUCUUAGGACAAAAACAUGUUUCUUGAUAAUUGGUGUAGGGACUCUACUUUGUACAAAGGCGUGCAAGUAUCACUUAGUGAUCAGUAUAAUCUUUGUAUUCCAUCUAUUGGGAGUGGCUCCUAAUACAUGUAGGUAGUUGCAUGCUUAUUAGAAUCUUUGUCCAUUUGAGUAUUAUGAGUGGUGGGAUGUAUGGUAUAGUAUAGCGUACAAGUAUCACUUGGUUUAGGACAGAAUGUUUAGCUUUUCGGUUAUGCUCUACAGUAGGCUUGUUAGCUAAAUUUUUUAAUUCAGUUAGAAUUUGAAACUUAUGCAAGAAAUGUGGAUAUUUGGCAUUAAAUUCAUGUGUUUCUUCCCGUAAAAUAUUUGAUUUACAAGUAUAACUAUCAAUCAAUUAACAUGACUGACUCAUAGUUGAGCUCAUGAAUCCAUUGGAAAAAACAUUGUGCUACGGAACAUGACAUAUUCUAAUGCAAGAGCUUGAAAAUUGAAAAUGCAGCCAAAAAGAGACUUGUUGAACUUUUAUUAGCUAGAAUAGAUGUGGAAUAAGAUCUAGUCAUUUUUGUACCUGCUUACUUUUCUUAAUUCUAUCCCGUUAUUAAUUGUGCUCCAGAGAUACUGAAUUCCAUUAAGCUCAAUUUUUGCAAGGUGAGGAAACAUGAAGACUGAUGUUUCUAAGGCAGGUCAUGACUGUAGACCCUUGAAAAGAAAAUCAGAAGUUCUUGCUAGUCCAGUUCCACUUGGAGCGUCAGGCAAAGGUUUGCCAUAUGCUCCAGUUGAUUGGCCAAAUGUUGGUGAUAUCUGGGGUUGGAGAGUUGGAACCAGAGUUAGGGCUGUAGGAUUCUACAAUGAUCGGUUCUUGUAUGCUCCUUAGAGGCUCCAAAAGAAGCCUACUAGAAAACUACUAUUCCAGAGCAAGCUAUCCAUUUUACGUUAUCUUAAAUCACAAUUCCCUGAAGCUGACAUUGAAGCAUUUUUUGCAUCAUUCACUUGGGAUGUUCCAGCAGAAGCUCAUUCUACAAAACUAAGUAAGCAAUUUGCCAUUGUUAAUGUGCAGAGAUUUUUUGAACGUUGCGUGUUGACAUUGCUUUGUGGACUGCAUUCUAUGUUUCGUUAUUUUUUUCCAAUAUAAUCUUUAUGGAUUGAGGACAAUUGAUAAUGAGUAUAUAAAAGUUUCUUGGACUUUGGUUUUAUUAGCUCUGAUCCAAUAUACGUAGUAUGCUUUGGUGAUAUUGUGGUUAAUCUGUAGCAGUUCAUUACCAACAGAUGGUGGUUCUAUAUCUUUCUUAAGUUACAAGUUGGGUAUAUUUCAUUAUAGUCUUAAUAGACAUCAAUUGGCUUCUGAAACCUGAAAUCUUUGUACAUUAUUACAUUGUUGUUAGAGACCUCUUCUUCUGUUCCAUUUGGUUGUAUGAUCACACUCUGUUAAACAUUGUACUUCUUUCCUUCGAACAUAGCUGAUAGGCACAUGCUUUCUACCUUAAAAGGUUUGCUUUAGUUGAAUUGAUUUGCUAAACCCUAAUUUAAUAGACUUUUGAUCUUCAAACCCUUUUCUUGUCUAUGCAAAACUAUGUACCCAUUUCUCCUCGAGGAUAUCUGCUUAAACUUUUACAUGAUUCAGACCUCCUAUCUCCUACCAAAUUCAUCUUGAAAGUAUACGACUGCAUUUGCAUAAUUCCCGUAGAGAGCUAAUUAAGGUCACAAACCCGCAACACAAAGUUGUUACUACUGUUACGAUGGCAGACAAAUGUUUUAUGAAUUGCUUACGAGUGCUAUUUUUUGGAUGGUAGACAAAUGUUUUAUGUAUUGCUUAUAAAUUUCCCUUGGUUCUGAUGCUAAUUUGAUUUGCAGGGUUCAGAAAUCUUGGUGAAAUAUAGUCUAAUAGAAUUAGGAAUUGGAGGGUACAUCAUUGACAGGUGUCGAACCUGUGCAAUAAUAAUUACCUAUUCAAGAAAAAUAUAUAUUUUAUAUAUAGCGGUGAGUAGGAUCGAAUCCACAGGGAUUGGGGAUAAUUCGUUUCUUCUAGAGUUCAAAGUAUGGGGGGUUUUAAGAUUAAAUGCUAAUGAAUUGCUAACUAAAUAAAUUAAAUGUGCAAAAUAAUUAAUUGGGAGAAAUAAUCAGGGAAACUCUAGCCAAGGAUACACUUCAAAAAUGGUUCAUGCAACUGAUUAUCGAUUCAAAUAUAAUUCCAACAAUUAUUAAUAGAUUAGUUAUAGUUGUCAUACACUCGAUAAACAACCAGCCUUUCCUUAAUUUCUCGAUAGUUAAGGUACGAUCGUUAACUAUUUCUCUAACUCGAAAACAACCCUAAGUACGACCGUAGGAUUUAAUUUCUGGUUUGCAUUAAGAUUUAGAAAGGUUCAAUCCUAACUAACAAACACGCUACGAGGGUUUGUUUAAGUUAGAUCGUAUGUUUUCCUGACAUAAACCCAAUUACGCCAGUUGCUACCGGGAUGAAAGUAAUCGAACAAUUACAGAUUUAACUACCACCAAUUAGCAAAUAGCCUACGUGAAUAAUUAAAUAUUGUGCAUUUAUUCAAUCAUACAUGAUAGUUAUAACAACAAUUAAAAGCAAAAAACAUACGAAUACCAAUAAAUGGAGGAAGCAAUUAAAAUAAUUUAGAUCUCACAAUAAUUGUUGAACCAAAUCUUCAGUUGUCCCCUUGACUAGAAGUAUAAAAUUAGUUCUCCAUUAAUGGAGAACAAGCCAUGUAAAAAUCUGUUUGAAGCUUCCCAAUCGUUUCUUCCCAAAUUUCAUCCCCGGAAGAAAAGUAAAAAAACGAAAUUCAAAAACCAAAGCAAAUUGUCCUCCCCAAAGUCGGCAAAAGGAGACCAAAGUAAAGACUAAGUCCAAUGCCCUCACAUCUCUAGCCACCCAAAGAUAGCUAAUGGCUGCCGAAUAAUAAUCCCUCACCAAGUAGCAAUCACGUGAGAUCUCUAGCCGAGUAGUAAUCCCGCGGGAUCCGUGGUUGAGUAGUAAUCCCGCGAGAUCCAUGGCUGAGUAGUAAUCCCGCGGGAUCCGGCCUUCUUUUCCUCUUCAAGGUCGGCUGGCCUUUUUUUUUUUGCCUUUUAUCUCUCAUUCCUUACAAAGACAUACGAGAGUCCCUUUUCUUCCGUCAAACUCACGCUAAAAAGAUUUCCUAAUAGUCUAGAAUCCUAGUCUAUAUGAACUUUCCUAAUCUAACAGAUUUUCCUAAUAAAAAAUAGUUUCCUCAUAGUACUCAACUACUAAAUAGAAAAAGGCAAUAAUUAUUCUAGCAUAGCCUCGGACUUGAAAUCCACAAUUCUUUGGAAACUGCCUCGUGCGCAUGAGAUCCCGAAUCUUCUGGACUUGAAUGUAGGUCCCGAACGUGCCACCACUAAAUUAGAUGGAAAUUGUCCCUUUUAAUCAUGUUUUGGUUAUUUUUUCUACAAUUAGCACCAUUAACCAAAUAUAAGUAGAAUUCAUCAAUUAAUACAAUAUUUGACUAAAAUAAAAAGAAAAAUAAACAUAAAUUCAAUGACAAUUUCACAUCCUAUCAAUCAUGAUACAUUCAAUUAAUUCCAUACGUCUAACAAGAUGAAGAAAAAUGGUACCGGUGUGGUAUGGAAGGUCAUUGGUCCCGUACCUGUCGUACGGCUGAGCAUCUAGUUGACCUCUAUCAAGCAUCAUUGAAAAAGAAAGACAAAGGUGUUGAGACAAAUUUUAUUGAUCAAAAGAAUGAUUAUGAUGAUGGUAAUGAUGCCGAUAUGACACAUUUCGAUGUAGCUGAUUUUUUUGAGCAUCCUGAAGAUGUCAACAAAUAUCCCAUGAUUGUUUAGAUAUUUUUAUGAUACUUUAUAUCUUUCAUGUAAUUUUCUUUUCAUUGAAUAUUUAUUUUCGUAUCUUUAUUAAUAUUUAUUUUUGUUUAAAAUUUUCUUCCUGGAAAAAAAAUGGAUGUCAAAUAAUUGAGAUUAAAUAAUGGUUAUGAUGACAUUUGUCUCAUUGAUAGUGCUACUACGCACACCAUAUUGAAAAAUAAAAAAUAUUUUUCUUGUUUAAAAAUGGAAGAGACAAAUGUUAAUACCAUCAGAGGUAGUGCAAAAUUAAUUAAAAAUUCCGGAAGAGCCACUAUAUUUCUUCCUGAAGGGACUAAAAUUGUCGUAAAUAUUGCAUUACUCUCUCCCAAGUCUCAGAGAAAUUUAUUGAAUUUUAAAAAUAUUCGCGAAAAUGGAUAUCAUAUCAAGACAAUGACUGAAAUAAAUAGUAAAUUUUUAUUAACCACGAAUAUCAUUUCUGGACAAAAAUGCGUAGUAGAAAAAUUAUCUUCUUUUUCUUCUGGCUUAUAUUAUGCACAAAUUAGUGCAAUUGAAAUUCAUCAUCUAGUAGACCAGAAGUCUACUCAUCCCAAUAAUUUUAUGAUUUGGCAUAAUCGUCUCGGACAUCUCAGAUCUAUAAUAAUGAGACGAAUAAUUGAGAAUUCACAUGGCCACUCAUUGAAAAAUCAAAAAGUAUUAAAAGCCAAUGAAUUCUCUUGUGUUGCUUGUUCUCAAGAAAAAUUAAUUAUUAGACCAUCACAAGUUAAAGUUAGGAUUGAAUUCCCUACAUUUCUAGAACGAAUUCAUGGUGAUAUAUGUAGGUCUGUAGAUCCACCAUGUGGGCCAUUUCGAUAUUUUAUGGUGCUAAUUGAUACAUCAACUAGAUGAUCACAUGUAUGUUUAUUAUCUACUCGGCAACCUGGCGUUUGCGAGAUUGCUUGCUCAAAUAAUUAAAUUGCGAGCACAAUUUUCAGAUUAUCCAAUAAAGAAAAUUCAUCUAGAUAAUGCUGGUGAAUAUUCGUCACAUGCUUUUGACGAUUAUUGUAUGUCCAUUGGAAUAACUGCUAAACAUCCUGUAGCUUAUGUUCACACACAAAAUAGUCUAGUCGAAUCAUUCAUUAAACGGUUACAAUCAAUUGCUAGACCAUUGUAGAUGAGGUCUAAACUUCCUUCAUCUGUUUAGAGACAUGCUAUAUUACAUGCAGCAACACUUGUGAGAAUUAGGCCGACAAGUUAUCAUACGUAUUCUCCCUUGCAAUUAACUUUUGGUUAUGAACCCAAUAUUUCUCAUUUGCGGAUAUUUGGUUGUGCGAUUUAUUUGGUUGUGCGUCGUAAAUUGGGCCCCCAAAGAAGAUUAGGGAUAUAUGUCGGUUAUGAAUCACCUUCAAUCAUUAAGUAUAUGGAACCAUUAACAGGUGAUUUAUUUAUUGCGAGAUUUACAGAUUGUCAUUUUGAUGAAUCACAUUUUUCGACAUUAGGGGAGAUAAAAAUCAACCGAAAAAGAAAAUUACUUGAAAAAUAUUAUUGAAUUUCCUUGAUUCUCGUACUAAAGAAUGUGAAUUAGAAGUUCAAAAAAUUAUACAUUUACAAAAAAUUACAAAUCAAUUACCGGAUGCAUUUAAUGACUCCAAAAGAGUUACUAAAUCACAUAUUUCUGAUAAAAAUAUUUCUAUUAAAUCGAUGUCCCUGAAGGACAAAUUACAAAUGCUAAUGAGUCUAAAGCAUAUUUGAAGCGUGGGAGACCUCUUGGUUCCAAAAAUAAAAAUUCUCAAAAGAAAAGAGGAGUAGAUGAAUCAAUAAUUAGUGACAAAAUUCAACCUCCUGAAGAUGUCGCUCCUAAAGAGCCAAUUCUUGAAGAGAAUGAAAUUAUAGAAAAUUUAAUAAAUUUUGUCACUUCAAGAAAAAGUUGGAACCGAAAAAAAAUAAUUAUUGAUAAUAUUUUUGCGUAUAAUGUAGUAUUUGAUAUUAUGGCAGAGGACGAUGAUCAUAAGCCUAAAUCGGUUGAUGAAUGUCGACAUAGAAAUGAUUGACCAAAAUGGAAAGAUGCGAUCCAAUCUGAAUUGGAUUCACUAACUAAAAGAAAAGUUUUUGGACCUGUAAUCCAAACACCUGAAGGUGUAAAGCCACUAGGAUAUAAAUAGGAAUUUUUGAGAGAAAGAAAUGAGAAAAAUAAAAUUGUAAGGUGUAAAGCAAGACUUGUAACCCAAGAAUUUUCACAAAGGCCUAGAUUUGAUUAUGAUGAAAUGUAUUCACCUGUAGUGGAUGCUAUCACAUUUAGAUAUUUUGUGAGUUUUGUAGUACAUGAAAAACUAGAUAUGCAUCUAAUGGACGUCAUUAUUGUAUAUUUAUAUGGAAAUCUUGAAGAUAAUAUUUAUAUGAGAAUCCCCGAAAGAUUCAACAUGCCUGAAACAUGCAAAUCAAAUCCUAAAUAUAUUUAUUCUAUUAAAUUACAAAGGUCUUUGUAUGGGCUCAAACAAUCUGGACGUAUAUGGUAUAAUCGUCUCAAUGAAUGUCUAACUAAAGAAGGUUAUACCAAUAAUUCAAUAUGUCCAUGUGUUUUUAUCAAGAAAAAUGGAUCAAAUUUUGUAAUAAUUGCUGUAUGUGUUGAUGAUCUAAAUUUGAUUGAAACUCCUGAACAGAUUCAAAAUAGUGUUGAAUAUUUGAAAAAAGAAUUUGAGAUCAACGAUUUUGGAAAGACAAAAUUCUGCCUUGGUUUACAAAUUGAACAUUUGAAAGAUGGAAUUUUUGUCCACCAAACUGCUUAUACCCGGAACGUAUUAAAACGAUUUUAUAUGGAUAAAACACAUAUAUUAAGUACCCCAAUGGUCGUCAGAUCAUUAGAUCCUAAUAAGGAUCUUUUUAGACCACGAGAAGAAAAUAAAGAGAUGCUUAGUCCUGAAGUACCAUAUUGAAAGGUGCCGAACCUGUACAAUAAUAAAUACCUACUCAAAAAAAUUACAAAUUUUGUAUAUAGCGGUGAGUAGGGUCGAAUCCACAGGGAUUGGAAAUAAUUCGUUUCUUCUAGAGUUCAGAGUAUGGGGGGUUUUUGAUGGGAGGAAAAUAAAAAUAAAAAUAAAACAAAUAAAAUUCAAAACUAACUCACAAAGCACAAUUUACUAAAAAUAGCAAUUAAUAAAAGUUCUACCCAAAAGAUCAACUGCUCAGGCACGGUUCAAUUAAAUGCUCAUCGAUAUAAAGAUAUUUCAUCCAUUUAUCACUAGGUUGGUUAUAGCUAUCAACAAACUCUGACAGCCAAUUUUUCCUUACCUUUUCGACAGCCAAGGUACGACCGUUGACUGCUUCUCUAACCAGAAAAUAAUCCUAAAUACGACCAUAGGAAUUUAAUUAUCCAGUUGCAUUAAAGCUAGAAAAAUCCAACCCUAAUCAAUAAACACGUUAAGAGGGUUUAUUUAAAUUAGAUCCUACGCUUCCCCAACAUAAAGUCAAUUAUGGUGGUUGUCACUAACUAUCAACUAAACGAACAAUUACGGAUUCAAUUUAGUUAAUGAGACAGUAGGCUAUUAAAUUAAAUUAAAUACCCGGCCGUUGAUAUUCAAUUAAUAAAAUACCCAUGAACAAUUAAUUCAGAAAACGCACGAAUAGCAACAAAUUGGAAAAAGUAAUUAAAGUUUGAUUAGAUCUCACAGAUGUUAUGGACCGCGCCUUCGCGUUAACCUUUGGGUAGAGGAGAAACCUAGCCGCUCCUUAUCGUAUCAAUUUUGCGUGGGUUGGUUGAUUUCAUCCGCACAGUCAUCAGCGAAAUUGGAACGAUGGAGUAAUGACGAAAAAAAGAAAAGAAAACGUCUUCCUUGUCUCUGCGUUAAUGUUCGUACUGAAGCCGAAGUACAACGCAAAAGCCAACGAAAAUUGUACAGAGCCAAAGCCAAAGCAAAAGAGUAAAAAACGUGAAAGCCAAAAAGCAAGAGAAGAGUCUACAACGUCUGACGGCUAGGGAAAAAGAAAACUAAAACUAUCUAAUUCCUAAUACGUGAAUCUGGCUUUCUUUUGCCUUUUGUAGCCGCCGCCAGCCAAAGCAAUUAGGAGCAGGACUUAUCUAUGGGUUUUAAUCCCACGCAUCUGGUCUACGUGGUCCUGGGUCCUUAAUUGGUUCUCCUGCUGUUACCAAGCUUAAGGGUCCGGCUUUUGGGUAUCCUUCUAGAGUUUCUGGCAUGGGCACGCUAUGAGAUAGAGAGUCUUCUGAAAAUUUGUCUCGCGAGAGCACUUUUCACACUAACCACCUACACUUUAUACAAAUAUCAAAUAUGAGCAAAAUAUCAAUUCUUAGCACCCUGAGAUGCCAAAAUUAGGACAGAAUAGUAGUGUAAAACGUGCUCAAUAAUUGUUUUAUCAAAUCCCCCCACACCUAAACAAUGCUUGUCCUCAAGCAUUCCAAACUCAGAAGUACAACCAAGAUAGCAGAGGGCAUGCAGUACUCUACACUAACACAAGCGUCUCAGAUCCCUGAAAAUGUCGCCAGAAUUAGAACAUACUGGACAGGUGGUAAUUCGAAGAAUAUAAACAGUAAUACUCGUCACCUUCACGAAAAUGUAUGAAUACUAGGACGCUCAAAUCAAUAUUAGGGAAUGGCAUUACCAUAGGUUUGCACAUUUAUCACAUCUCCAUCACUCAAAGGUGAACUAAAUACACAAAUCAAAGGGACUUUAAGAGGGUUAUAAUGGGGCUUAGGUAAAAUGUGGGACAAAAAGGUAAGGAUAGGGUGUAAUGUGUCAAGAGAAUGUCCAACAUCCACUAGAUAACCACAACACUUUACCUGGGAAAUUUCAUAAGCAAGGCAUUUCCAUUUGCUAUUCCCACUGUGCCAGUGUCGAAACUUUUUUUUUUUUUUUUGCAAGCAAGCGACUCGCAAGGCGUGGGCAUGCCUUGUGAGCUAGAGUUUUCUGUUCUUAUUGACAAUUUCUCCCCCUUUUUUUUUCUUCUUCUCUUUUUUUUUUAUUUUGGAAAGGACGUCUAGCAAGGCAUGGGCACGCCCUGGAAGACAGAGUCUUCUGCUCACCUUUUUUUUUUGCCGAUUGCUCCCCUUUUUGUUCUAGAUGCACAGAAACGGCCCCACACAAAUUCUACUCUAACAACACUUGCGACCCUGGAUUUAUUUGUCUUGCACAAACAAUGAAUUUCAGACAUUCCUUAACGACACAAGGGUGAACAAGAAAGUCUAAAAAGGUUCUAGAUUAUCAGACAUGGCUAACAAACAAAGGAGGGAUAAAAGCUCAAAAUGGUUUACUAUUGGGAGACAAAAUGAAGGCAUGGUUUGUAGAAAGUCAAAUAAGAUUAAAUUCUAAAUGCUCUUAUCAUUUCAAAUGCAUCCAAUUCAACAAAAUGUGGUCUCGACGUGUACAAAAUAGCAAGUUCUAGAAUGCCAAUAUCAUAUGUGAUACCCACUCAAUCAAACAAAAAUAGAGCAAAUAAGAAUGAUGUGCUCAUGCAUGGCUCAAAAGCUCCCAAAAGUUUCAAGAAUGGGUCAAGUCCAGCAUAUUCAACAUUCAACGAUAUUGUCAAGGAAAAUCAAAAUACAUAGCUAGCAUAUAUGACCACAUACCCGUGCACCAUGAUUGUGCAAUCUAUCAUAGCAACAUGCUCUAACAGUUAACAAACGUAGAAAUAGAAAGAAAGUCAACUAACUACACCCUUUUUUUUCAUUUUUCUCUUCUUUUUUUUCAUUUUUUUUUCAAGCAAAAAGAAAUAAUGGAAGCCAUCCCCCCCACACCUAAUACCUACAUUAUCCUCAAUGUAGAAAAGAUGAAUGAAGUAUAAGGAGAAAAGGAGAGAAACUUCUCUGACCACCGAGAGGGAGCAGCGAGACACUAAGGCGGAUGAGGGUGAGGUGGCUGGAAUCCAAUGUGAGCAAAGAAAGCUGUCUGAUGAGAGAGAUAGUGACGGUGGGGAGGGCAGCGACGUGCGAUGAAUGGCGCGAGGAGGAGAGAGAGAGAGAGUUUCUAGCGGCGGUGGCCAAGGGGGAAACCUUGGACUAAGACAAAACAAAGAAAAUUGAAAAGUAGAAGCUGGGACAAUGGAAAUUGAGAAGACCAUACAAGACAAGAAAAAAGAAAAAUAGAAAGUGGGAUUAGAGAGGAUCCUGGUCAAUAUUUGACUGUCGUUGGCGCAAAUGUCGGAAGCCGUGGACACGCCUUGGAAGCUAUAAUCUUCUGACCAUCAAUUCCAAAACUUCAUUUCUUAGGCAUGACCAAUUAAACUGGGCAUGUCUAACUGCCAGCUUCCUGCCACAAAACAACAAUCCACUAAAUGACACUAACACUUAACAAAAAUUUCAAAAAUAUAAGAAAACUAAAACAAAAGAAGCAUUGGGUUGCCUCCCAAGCAGCGCCGUUCUUUAAUGUCUUUGGCUAGACAUCGUCAUGUUUAUUCACGGAGAAUAAAAUCGUGUAACUCGUUUCAGUGCUUCAUCUUCUAUGUAAUCCUGAUAGCCCUCGUAAAUAGAGUAAUUCUUGAGUCCACGAUUUACGGUCUUCCAUGGAUUAGUAGAUGGCGCCAAACAAACAAGUGAUGACCUUAAAUCUUCACUCACUCCUCCAUCACGAGCACUUAUUGGUUCGAGAUAUUUUGCCAUUGCAACUCUUAAUUUAUUCAUGUCAUGAAAUUUAAAAUCUACUGGUAUAAUAAAAUCAAUUUCACUAAUAGGAAUUGAAGAAUAAGAGUUAGAAAAAUAUUGAUUAAGGAAUGGAGGAGAUGUCACCGUAUUUGGAGAUUGUUUACUAGAUUCAUUCAUUUGAACAAUUUGAUAUUGGGGUCUCAUGUCUUGUACUUCAACUUUCUUUUCAACUGCAUCUUUAGAUCCUUCUUCUUGAGAUUCUCGCAGUACCAUGUCAUUUGUCAGGAUAAUUGCACUCUCAUCUUCCUCAUGGUCGAUAAUAGUCGGUGAGGGCAAUUCUUCAUAAACUGGAGAAAUCAAUUUGCUCAUUUUAGAUGCUCAUUCACGCCUUCCUUCUUUCAUUUCUUUACUCAUCCUUUGUGUCUCCUGUUAAAGUUGAUGUACCUCCUGUUGAAUUUGAUAUGUGUUAGUAGCUAUUAAUUCAACUAUUUUUUCAAAAGACAUACCUGACAUGGAUGACAGUUCUUGAGACUCUAGCUGUUGAAAAUCUAUUGGCCUUUGUUGAUAAUUAAAAUUGGAAUCAUCCCACCAUCCUUGCUCAUACCCGUUUGAAUAAGGGUCAUACCACGUUUGAUAUUGAGGUGAAAAAUCUCCAAAAAUAUCGAUUGGAGCACUUAGACCAUCUUGAAAUGUAUGGCAUAUGUCGAUUGAAUGAUCUGAGGCAAAAUAAGUUCCACAAUUUGCAGCAACCCAUUGAUCAUUAGAAAAAGCAUGAGUCUCAUAACCCCUUGUAGAAAUAAAAUCCAGUCUAUCGUCAAAAUACGGAAUGUUAGCAGCCAUAAACUAUAUAUAUAUAUAUAUAUAUAUAUAAAUAAUAAUAAUAAGAGAAAAAUAAAAAAAAUGAAAACAAGAUGAAUUCAAAAAGAAACAAAUUAAUCAGGCACCAGUCCCCGGCAACGGCACCAAAAAUUGACAGGUGUCGAACCUGUGCAAUAAUAAAUACCUACUCAAGAAAAUUACAAAUUUUGUAUAUAGCGGUGAAUAGGGUCGAAUCCACAGGGAUUGGAAAUAAUUCGUUUCUUCUAAAGUUCAGAGUAUGGGGGGUUUUUGAUGGGAGGAAAAUAAAAAUAAAAAUAAAAUAAAUAAAAUUCAAAACUAACUCACAAAGCACAAUUUACUAAAAAUAGCAAUUAAUAAAAGUUCUACCCAAAAGAUCAACUGCUCAGGCACGGUUCAAUUAAAUGCUCAUCAAUAUAAAGAUAUUUCAUCCAUUUAUCAUUAGGUUGAUUAUAGCUAUCAACAAGCUCUGAUAGCCAAUUUUUCCUUACCUUUUCGACAGCCAAGGUACGACCGUUGACUGCUUCUCUAACCAAAAAAUAACCCUGGGUACGACCAUAGAAAUUUAAUUAUCCAAUUGCAUUAAAGCUAGAAAAACCCAACCCUAAUCAAUAAACACACUAAGAGGGUUUAUUUAAAUUAGAUCCUGCGCUUCCUCAACAUAAAGCCAAUUAUGGUUGUUGUCACUAAUUAUCAAAUAAACGAACAAUUACGGAUUCAAUUUAGUUAAUGAAACAGUAGGCUAUUAAAUUAAAUUAAAUACCCGACCGUUGAUAUUCAAUUAAUAAAAUACCCAUGAACAAUUAACUCAGGAAACACACGAAUAGCAACAAAUUUGAAAAAGUAAUUAAAGUUUGAUUAGAUCUCACAGAUGUUAUGGACCGCGUUAACCUUUGGGUAGAGGAGAAACCUAGCCGCUCCUCAUCGUAUCAAUUUUGCGUGGAUUGGUUGAUUUCAUCCGCACAGUCAUCAGCGAAAUUGGAACGAUGGAGUAAUGACGAAAGAAAGAAAAGAAAACGUCUUCCUUGUCUCUGCGUUAAUGUUUGUACUGAAGCCGAAGUACAACGCAAAAGCCAACGAAAAUUGUACAGAGCUAAAGCCAAAGCAAAAGAGUCAAAAACGUGAAAGCCAAAAAGCAAGAGAAGAGUCUACAACGUCUGACGACUAGGGAAAAAGAAAACUAAAGCUAUCUAAUUCCUAAUACGUGAAUCUGGCUUUCUUUUGCCUUUUGUAGCCGCCGCCAGCCAAAGCAAUUAGGAGCAGGACUUGUCUAUGGGUUUUAAUCCCACGCAUCUGGUCUACGUGGUCGUGGGUCCUUAAUUGGUUCUCCUGCUGUUACCAAGCUUGAGGGUCCGGCUUUUGGGUAUCCUUCUAGAGUUUUUGGCAUGGGCACGCCAUGAGAUAGAGAGUCUUUUGAAAAUUUGCCUUCCUUUGGGAGCACUUUUCACGCCAACCACCUACACUUUACACAAAUAUCAAAUAUGAGCAAAAUAUCAAUUCUUAGCACCAUGAGAUGCCAAAAUUAGGACAGAAUAGUAGUGUAAAACGUGCUCAAUAAUUGCUUUAUCACAUAUCUUAGUGCAAUUGGUGCACUAAUAAAUCUUGCUAAUUAUACAAGACCUGAUAUAUCAUUUGUAGUAUAUUUAUUAGCAAGAUUUAGUUCCUCGCUCACAAAAUGACAUUGGAAUAGUAUUAAACAUAUUUUUCGCUAUCUCUAAGGAACAAUUGAUCUUGAUUUAUUUUAUUCAAAUAAAUCCAAACCUGAAUUGGUUGGUUAUGCUGAUGCUGGGUAUUUAUCUGAUUCGUAUAAAACAAGAUCUCAGACUGGUUAUCUAUUUAUAUAUGGAGGUACAGCUAUUUCUUGGCGAUCUACAAAACAAUCGCUAGCUACCAUUUCAUCGAAUCAUGCUGAAAUGAUAGCAAUUCAAGAGGCCAGUCGAGAAUGUGUUUGGUUAAGAUCAAUGACCCACUAUAUCCGGAAGAGUUGUGGAUUAUCCCGCGAAAAAGAAAAUCCUCCAACUAUAUUAAAUGAAGAUUAUGCAACUUGUAUAACUCAAUUGAAAGAAAAAUAUAUUAAAGGAGAUAGGACGAAACAUAUUUCACCAAAAUUCUUUUUUACUCAUGAUUUGCAAAAGAAUGGUGAAAUUGACGUGCAACAAAUUCGAUCAGAUAAUAAUUUGACAUAUUUAUUUACUAAGGCAUUGCCGAUUGCAAUAUUCGAGAAAUUGGUGAAUAAUAUUGGAAUGCGAUGAUUAAAAGAUCUCAAAUGAUGUUUGCAUCAGGGAGAGAAAUUAAUACACAGAAAUAGUGUACUCUUUUUCCUUCACUAGGGUUUUUGUUCCGAUAAAUUUUUCCCUAAUAAGGUUUUAACGAGGCAUAUUCUUUGUAUAAUGGACAUCCAAGAGGGAGUGUUAUAAAACAAUUAAAAGUGUGGAUGUCCCUUUGUAUUUUCAAGAGAAUUAAUUCAUGAUUUAUGACUACAUUAUGUAUAGAAAUUACAAUCCAUAAAUCUAUUCAUGUAUCGAAGAAAUCGUUUCAUAGGUUUCGUCAUAUUCUUGUAGUAGUGGGAGUUUAAUAGAAUUAAUGUACCUUUAAUCUUGUAGUAACUAUAUAUAAAGGUACAUUGACAUCAUUUGUGAGAACUUUUGUAUUUUGUUUGAAUAUCAGAAUAUUAUUUUCUACUUCUCUACUUCUUUCUCUAAUUUCUCCAUCCAUACUAUAAUAAACUUAAGAUCUUCUGCACAUAAGUGCGCGAAUAUUGGAAUGCGACGAUUAAAAGAUCUCAAAUGAUGUUUGCAUCAGGGAGAGAAAUUAAUACACAGAAAUAGUGUACUCUUUUUCUUUCACUAGGGUUUUUGUCCCGAUGGAUUUUUCCCUAGUAAGGUUUUAACGAGACAUAUUCUUUGUGUAAUGAACAUCCAAGGGGGAGUGUUAUGAAACAACUAAAAAUGUGGAUGUCCCUUUGUAUUCCCAAGAGGAUUAAUUCAUGAUUUUGUUCAGCCAAGAGAAGACAUGCGAUAAGUUCAGAAUAUUUUUUAAAUCCCUUCUCUCGGUAUUGCUGCUGCAGGAGCAUGUUAGAGACAUGAAAAGUAGAAAAUAUCUUCUCUAACAUAUUUUCAUCAGUGACUUUUUCGCCACAUAAUGAUAAUUGAGAAGUGAUUCUGAACAUGGCUGAAUUAUAUUCGUUGACAAAUUUAAAAUCUUGCAGCCGUAAGUGAUGCCAAUUAUAUCGGCCUUUUGGAAGAACGACCAAUUUCAUGUGGUCGAAUCUUUCUUUCAAAUCUUGCCAAAGGACAAGAGGAUCUUUAACAGUAAGAUACUCUAUUUUUAAUCUUUCAUCUAAAUAAUGACGAAGAAAAAUCAUAGCUUUGGCACAAUCUUGGUUUGAAGAUUCAUUUUUUUCAACAAUAGUGUUACCAAGACCCAUUGCCUCAAGAUGAAUUUCAACAUCCAAUACCCAUGAUAAAUAAUUUUUUCCAGAAAUAUCAAGAGAUACGAACUCUUGUUUUGUAAGAUUAGCUAUAAGAAAUUAAAAUAAGUUUUUGAGUUAGAAAUUUACCUUAGAAGUCACUUGAAGAAAUACGGGCAAAAUUUCGGCAAAAUCUUGUGUUUCACUUUUGUUCAAAGUAGAGACUCCGUUUUUCACCUUUUGCUCAAAAGUAGAAGAUUGUGCUAAUAACGUGUUGUAAAACUAAUAAACUACUAUAAUAUGAAUGGAGAUAUUAGAGAAAUAGAGAAUGAUAUUCUGAUAUUCCAACAAAAUACAAAAGUCAUCACAAAAGGGUGUCAAUGUACCUCUAUAUAUAGGUACUACAAGAUUAAAGGUACAUCAAUCCUAUUAAACACCUACUACUACAAGAAUAUGAAAAAACUUAUGAAAUGGUUUCUCCACUACAUGAAUAGAUUUAUGGAUUGUAACUUCUAUACAUAAUGUAGUCAUAAAUCAUGAAUUAAUUCUCUUGGAAAUACAAAGGGACAUCCACACUUUUAGUUGUUUCAUAACAUUUGUCUAUUUCUGGAGUUUCACAUGUACUUAUGCUCUAAAGCUUUUAAGAUAAAGCUCGCAUUUGCCAAUGACAGGUGAUGUGCUGGCAUGAGUUUACUAUAUUGUCCUCAAUUUGUCUAUUCUGCCAGUCAUUAGUACUUAAUAUUGGUUUCUAGAAUUGCUAGUGGAAGAGGAAUAGAUUGGAUGGUACGGCGAAAGAGAUAUAAGUGAAUGAUUUUGAAUUCGAGACCUCUCACUUACACUAAAAAGAAGAGGAAAAAAAAAAAGAAUUGUUUGUCUUUUAGGAAAAUUAGUAGGGAUGUAAGGAAGGGUAGUGAAAUUUUGGUCCUCUUGUUUUUCAUUCUUAAGUAAUGAAAAAAAUCUCCUCAAUGUCAAUGCCAAUUAUGCCUUCCUCCAUUACAAAUAAACAUCACACUAAUCAACUAUUAAAACAACUAACUACCCAACUUAUAUUAACCAAAAUAACUAAUUAUUAAGAGCAAAUCUUACAUAUAUUGAGAGUGUAUUCACUAUCACCGUUAGAUCUAUAACAUAUAUGCAAAAGUUGAUUUUCAAAUUUAAUUUUUGUAUAGUUAUCAUCCAUUCAAUGCUGACAGUGUACACAUUAUCAAUGUAUGAAAGAUUAAUUCAAUUAUUAAAGUAUUAAAUACCAUAUCACAUAUUAUUAUUGCUAACCAUAUUAACCAUCCAUUUUAUUAAUAGAUACCAUAUCACAUUCAUGCCAACCAUACCAACUAAUUAUGAAAGUAUUGAAAGGUUGUGUAUACACUAUGUCUUUGACUAUUGAUUUCUGAAGUCUAAGAAAUUCAUUAGAAAGUUCAUAAUCUGCAGAAAGUUUCCUUUGAUGGAUUUUCCAUUCUACAUUCUAGAAAAAUGGCAUAUGUUUGGUCAUACAAAAUGAAGAGUAGAAAUUGCAGCUAAAAAGUUUGCAAUUCAGUUAUUUUACAUGAAAAAUCUUUGCACGUUGAGACUGAAAAGGAAGAUCAAGAAUUCACACCCCUGUCAUGAAUUACCGGUUUGAGGACUUAGGUACAGAGGAACUUGAACACGAUAGACGUCUGACAACAUACUGGUUCAAGCCCUUGUGGCCAUGGCCCAAUUCUGAGCCCAAAGAAAGCAGACAGUUGUCUCCUCGUAACUAAUUAUCAUGAAACUGCUAAAUAAUUGGGCCAACAUAGUAUUGCCAUAGAACUUCAGAUACUAAAAUGUUUACAGACACAUUUCCUGGGCAAAUUGUCAGAGGCCCAAUAUUGCGAAUUGGCAAAUUGAUGGUACCCUGGUCGAAAUUACGUACGAAAAAAAGAUUUAAUAUACGAUAACGACUAAGAGAAUUAAAUGAGAAAGAUAAAGAAAAGCAUACUCCGCUUUAUAAAAUCCUAAAAAUCAUGCCAUUCGUUUUGGAAUCUGGUGUUGAUGUUUCACUUAGCAAAGCAGUACUAAACAAGAAUAGAAUAUUUUGUGUCAAUGCAAAUUUAUAUUGCAAAGUUGAUUAUUAACUCCAACAAAGAUGUGUAAGUUCCAGUAAUCAUAAUUGCUGUACCCAUCAAAACAAUUCCAGUUAUGAUCAAUAACUCCAAAUUAAAUCUCUGGUGGGUGCCAGAAAUCUUCAGGAAGCAC
rnacentral:lncRNA from 1 species